CUUUUUGGGCUUAACUUCUAUCUGUUACAUUAGUAAUACGUUUGCUUAUAAUGUUGAUUUAUAGCCGUAGCAAAUUUAACUGCUUGUGCUAUCGUUUAUUAUGUUGUGCUAUCUGUCGAUUUCUGUGCUUUUCACUGCAUCUAUUAUGUAAAGCUGCUUUGAUACAAUUACCAAAUUGUGAAAAGCGCUAUAUAAAUAAAAUUGAAUUGAAUUGAAUUGAAUCAUAAUUACAUUUAAAAUAUCUCCAAAUUAUUACUACGCUCAUUAUGUACUCUGCUGCUUAUGUUGUCCUCACCGUUGACUUUUUUUCUGCUUUUAUUAAUGUAAAGCUGCUUUGAAACAAUGAAACAAUUGUGAAAAGCGCUUUAUAAAAAUAAAUAAAAAUUGAAUUGAAUAAAUAGAUGAGCUAUUAAUAAUAAUCAAUUUAAUUUAUAAAGUGCCUUUCAAAGGACCCAAGGUCACUUGCUCAUUGCACUGCAAAAAAAUGACUUUCUUCGUGUGUUUGUCUUGCUUUCAGUUAAAAUAUCAAGAAAUUCUUGAAUUAAGAUGUAUUAAAAGUUUUCUUGAAAUAUACUUUUUCAUAAACACUUAAUUUAAAACAAAUGUUCAUAUUCCAUUGGCUAAUUUUUUUCCUUAUUUUCCUAUGUCAUGUUGCUCAUCAAGAAAAUGCAUCUUAAUUUAAGAAUUUUUUGAUAUUUUUACUGAAAACAAGAAAAAAAUACAAAGUAAGUCAUUUUUGCAGUGUGACACCAUUGAAUGUUCUUGUGGGAUAAAGAAAGUCUCUCUUUUUGUGUGUUGUGUGUGUGAUGUAGAUUAAAUAUGACCGGGCCAAAACGGACAUGGCAGCAGGUCAAAAUCAAAUACAAAAACAUUCUGCAGAAUGCAGUGAAAAAGAAUACCCAGAGACAAGGCACGGGUGGUGGGUCACCAAAAGCUGACCUCACCCCAGCAGAGGCUUGGACUGUCUGACUUUGGUUUGCCUAUUGCCUUGCAGUGUCUGGCAGCACUGUGUUACUAUAAAAGCCACCAGUACGAGCACCAGACGAUGCUGAUCCAGUGAGUACUCCAUCAAAGGCAUACUAUAGGCCUGGCACGUCUUGUUUACUAGCUUCAAUAGUAAUCCGAGUAAAUGUGAAAGGGUUUAAGGCCCAAUUUCAUAAGCACAUAACGGUGAUGAUGAUGAGGAGACAAUCUCUCUGGAUUCCAAAAGGCAUAAGGACCCAGUGUCAUUGGUGUACUGGACUGCACACACAUAAGGAUAAAAGCCCCCUCAGGUGCCCAUGAGGCAGAUUUUGUAAAUAUGAAAUCUUUUUACAGCAUUAAUGUUCAGGUGAACAUAACUUUUUGAUCUUUUCCAUUGAACCCUGGCAAAAUGGCCUGACUCAGUCCAUGACUCCAGAAUCUUUCGGACCUCUGAAAUCUAUCAGCGCCUAUCACAAGGUGAAUUCUCUGGUGUGUUGCUGGGAGACAGGGGGUAUGGCUGCCAGCCACACCUUUCACAGACCCCCAGGAAGCACAGCAGGCCUACAACUAUGCCCAUGCCAGGACCAGAGUUGAAAUGACCUUUGGCCUCCUGAAGGCACACUCUCACUGCUUUCACAAAUUAAGGGUCAGCCAUGUGAGGGCAUGUGACAAUACUGUGGCUCGUGGUGUCCUCCACAAUGUGGCCUGCCUGAGGAAGGAGAGGGCCAUGGACUGGGACAAUCUGGAAAUCUUCCCUGAUGACAACAGUGGUCGGCUGCUGAGGGACCAAUAUGUGUUGAAUUAUUUUAGUUUGUAUGCGUGCUUUCAAUUAUUAUUAUUUUUUAUUUGGCCUCUUUAUACUGUUUGUAAUACAAGCUUGCAGGGAGGCUACUGCAUCCAUUAAUUUGUCUGUUCAGUUAGUGUGUGUAUGGAUUUGUCCUGCAUUUAUUUCAGUGUGCAGACAUGCAGGGUGUGUUAUAUACAGACCUUUGAAUGUGUAUUUAUCCUUUGGUUGUAUAAUAUGCUCUGAUUCUGUGCUUUCCAUCUUGUAAAGUCACAAUGUGACUUCAGUUUAGAAAGGAGCUGAUGGUUUACCUGCUUUGUUUUGU